AGUGAACGCUGGCGGUAGGCCUAACACAUGCAAGUCGAACGGCAGCACAGUAAGAGCUUGCUCUUACGGGUGGCGAGUGGCGGACGGGUGAGGAAUACAUCGGAAUCUACUUUUUCGUGGGGGAUAACGUAGGGAAACUUACGCUAAUACCGCAUACGACCUACGGGUGAAAGCAGCGGAUCUUCGGACCUUGCGCGAUUGAAUGAGCCGAUGUCGGAUUAGCUAGUUGGCGGGGUAAAGGCCCACCAAGGCGACGAUCCGUAGCUGGUCUGAGAGGAUGAUCAGCCACACUGGAACUGAGACACGGUCCAGACUCCUACGGGAGGCAGCAGUGGGGAAUAUUGGACAAUGGGCGCAAGCCUGAUCCAGCCAUACCGCGUGGGUGAAGAAGGUCUUCGGGUUGUAAAGCCCUUUUGUUGGGAAAGAAAAGCAGCAGGUUAAUACCCCGCUGUUCUGACGGUACCCAAAGAAUAAGCACCGGCUAACUUCGUG
rnacentral:rRNA from 1 species